AACAAAAGUGUAUUCCUAGGUAAUCCACUCUGUGUUACUUUACAACAAGGCAACAAAAGGGGAAUUGACUUCUCUGCAAGGGCAAAGGGGAAGGUCCUUUCCUUGUAGUUUAGGAUUCAAGGCUAGAAGUUGGUGACUCCGUGAUUGCGUAUAGUAACGUGAUACAACUUAGCGGUUAAGAAAGCGGGCGAAGGGCGAGGAAGGAAGAGAAAGAUGGGUUGCUUCGAUUGCUUCGAUGGAGGAGCAAAGAAGGUGCAAAGGAAAGAAGCGGAACGAUUAGCUUCAGAGGAAGCUCGUGCCAAAGCCGCCGAAGCUGCCCAGAAAAGACAAGAGCAGUUUGAACAAUCUGCUGCUGGAAGAGCUGCACGUGCGCAGAUGGAAUCAAUGGCCAAACAGUCUGCAAAUCCUAACAAAGGAGAACCUGUUCUCAAGUGGCAGAUGGGGUGAAGAUCUCAAAGGCUGACUCAUGCUAUACGCUGCAAGUAUGUAUAAUGAAGCCCUCAUGGAUGAUGAACCAUGUAGUCUUUGACAGUAAGUCCCAAUUGAAAAGCAAUUUUAUUGAAGUUGCAGAUGUGUGUGUGGUAGCUCUGUUCUUCUGUGAAUUCACAUGUUCAUGAACUCAUCUUUUACUCAGAACGAUGCAAGCAUUCCUUCCAUCCUUUGCAUAUACAAUUGUUAUAUCAUGGACCAGGUCCAUCAUGCGUUAUGCAUUGUGAAUCCAGUUCACGUUAUGUAUUGUAGUGCAAUUAAUAUAUUAUGUACCUUUAGUUAACUGAGAUUAUGUAUCGUUAAUGUACAUAUAA